UACGUAGGGUGCAAGCGUUGUCCGGAAUUAUUGGGCGUAAAGAGCUCGUAGGCGGUUCGUCACGUCGGCUGUGAAAUCCCGAGGCUCAACCUCGGGUCUGCAGUCGAUACGGGCGGACUUGAGUACUGCAGGGGAGACUGGAAUUCCUGGUGUAGCGGUGAAAUGCGCAGAUAUCAGGAGGAACACCGGUGGCGAAGGCGGCUCACUGGACCGGAACUGACGCUGAGGCGCGAAAGCGUGGGGAGCAAACGGG
rnacentral:rRNA from 1 species